rnacentral:rRNA from 1 species
AACGAACGCUGGCGGCAGGCUUAACACAUGCAAGUCGAACGCCCCGCAAGGGGAGUGGCAGACGGGUGAGUAACGCGUGGGAAUCUACCUAGUUCUACGGAACAACAGUUGGAAACGACUGCUAAUACCGUAUACGCCCUACGGGGGAAAGAUUUAUCGGAAUUAGAUGAGCCCGCGUAAGAUUAGCUAGUUGGUGAGGUAAUGGCUCACCAAGGCGACGAUCUUUAGCUGGUCUGAGAGGAUGAUCAGCCACACUGGGACUGAGACACGGCCCAGACUCCUACGGGAGGCAGCAGUGGGGAAUAUUGGACAAUGGGCGCAAGCCUGAUCCAGCCAUGCCGCGUGAGUGAUGAAGGCCUUAGGGUUGUAAAGCUCUUUCACCGAUGAAGAUAAUGACGGUAGUCGGAGAAGAAGCCCCGGCUAACUUCGUGCCAGCCGCCGCGGUAAAAC